CCUACGGGUGGCAGCAGUCGAGAAUCAUUCACAAUGGGGGAAACCCUGAUGGUGCGACGCCGCGUGGGGGAAUGAAGGUCUUCGGAUUGUAAACCCCUGUCAUGUGGGAGCAAAUUAAAAAGAUAGUACCACAAGAGGAAGAGACGGCUAACUCUGUGCCAGCAGCCGCGGUAAUACAGAGGUCUCAAGCAUUGUUCGGAAUCACUGGGCGUAAGGCGUGCGUAGGCUGUUUCGUAAGUCGUGUGUGAAAGGCGCGGGCUCAACCCGCGGACGGCACAUGAUACUGCGAGACUAGAGUAAUGGAGGGGGAACCGGAAUUCUCGGUGUAGCAGUGAAAUGCGUAGAUAUCGAGAGGAACACUCGUGGCGAAGGCGGGUUCCUGGACAUUAACUGACGCUGAGGCACGAAGGCCAGGGGAGCGAAAGGGAUUAGAUACCCGGGUAGUC
rnacentral:rRNA from 1 species